CAUGACAGCCAUCCUCAAUGUUUAGGAUGCCCUUCACAAAACGUAGCUCAUCUUAGAAGCUAAGCAAGGUCAAAGCUGGGAAGUGCAUGGAUGGGAGACCACAUGGAAAUGCCAGGUGUUUCAGGC
rnacentral:rRNA from 1 species